rnacentral:snoRNA from 12 species
AAUGGAAGCUGCAGGAACCAACCAUGUGGACAAAUGAAAAAAUGCCUUUGUCUGCAGAAUGCAGCUAUCCUACAAAAAUGUGGAGGUCUCUGUCUGGCUUAGGACAGUUAACUAAGUCCUGAUCGUUCCCCUCCAUACAAC